AGAAUAUUUUAAAGCUUGGAUUAUUAGUAGUUAUGUUCUUGAAAAUUAAUGGAGAUGGCGGUAUUUUAGUCUAUUCAGAGGAAUCUGCCCUGUUAUUGAUAUUCCACGAGUUAAUUUACUUUAGAUUUUAGCUUGCAUAUCGCUGUAGGUUGAAUAUCUUUACUGAGUAAAUAAAUGUUCAUAAAUUUUAAUGAAAGUAAAUCAAGUCAAGAUGUAGCUUAUAUCUAAGAAGAGGUGGAUUACAUUAUUUGUAAUUGUGGUUAACAUUUUGAAAGAGUGUUAUAAAAUGGAUUUGAAGGUAAUUUUUUACUAAAAUUUGAAAGGUGAUUUUAGCUCUAAAU
rnacentral:rRNA from 1 species